CCAGGGCCCGCCUGGAACCCUACCAAUUUCCCCCAAAUCCCAACGCUCUUUACCAACACCGUGUUGCUGUUCGAAUCGGCGCUCGCCGGUAACCGCCGAUCACCGCGACCACGUUGCUGUUCGAAUCGACAGCCCUUCUGCUCUCGGAGCCACCAUUGACGCCUGCCACGAAUCUUGUGGUUUUCAGCUGUCUCUCGCUAUUUUUCCCUCGAAUAUUGUGCUUCCGCCUGCUUUGAGUUUCUCGCAGUCCUCGGAGUCACUCCCGUUGCCUAUCGAUCCAUCCUGACCAUAACUGGCCUGACGUAAGGUGGCGAAGCCAUUUUCUGUUUCAUAGGUUGUUCGGAAAUAGGAUUUGGAGAGCUCACAGUUUGGGAACGUCUUGAGUAGGAAGCGGCCUCUGUUCUUUCAUGAUGUCGCAACGUCUAUACAAGUUUUCAAAUUGAAAUUUGGAUUUGGGGCAAGAGUAUACACCAUAUCCAGUGCAACACGGAUUGCAAAAAUGGCGAGAGAGAUACAUACUUAGUAAGAUUUCACAGACUGAUCAAGGUUCAGGCACGUAACAACUUCAACAGCAGAAUUGAUUUGUAUCAUCUUGGUAGAUGGAACCAGAGUCCAAUGGCCAAGAGUUGGAGCAUGCAGUUGUGUCAGAGAUGAUUGGAGAGCCUGCUAUCAUAAUUGAUGGUGUGCCACCUUUACCUCCUGAUUCUGUAAAGAUUUGUGGCGAGGCCUCAACUCAUGUUGGAUCCACAUUUGAUCCUUGCUUUGGUGAGUGGUUAGAGGGAAGAAAGGUUCACAAGUUAUUUGGAGAUCACUAUUUUUCUGGAAUAGUUGUCAAGUAUGAUAGUGAAUCAAAUUGGUACAGAGUUAUCUACGAAGAUGGGGAUUCUGAAGAUCUUGAGUGGCAUGAACUAGAGGAAAUUUUGUUACCUCUUGACAUCUCUAUUCCAUUAACAACCCUGGCUUUGCAAAGAUGCAACUCAAAUCUGUCCGAUUCCAUGCCACAUAUAACUUCUGUGAUAAUGGGGAAGGGUACUAAAAAGGGUUAGGAAGAAGGAAGAAGUCGAUAAAGAUGCUUCAAACAUUCCAAACAUGUAGAUGAGGGGGCAUAGUUAUAAUCCAAGGAUUUGCCAAAUAUUUCAUGGUCGGCAAUAGGUGUAUUUGAUGUUCUGAUGCAUCUCAUGGAGAACACUUCAUCUGAGACAGCAAAUCUACAGCUUUAUGAAAAGGUUAAUGCAAGAACAAAACCUUGUUGAAUCAAUGACGUCAGUGCUGAAGCUUCCAACACGCAAAAGACUGGGCAACAAAUGCAAGAAAUCCUAGUGAAGUGAACAAAACAACACCUUUGCUUCAAGUUAAAAGAAUAUGGAGGUAAAGAUUAGUUUUAGAAAUAUCCUUUCCAAAUAUUGUUUUUUUAUUUCCUUUUUUUCUGUAAAUUGAACUGUUUGCUUCAUGGAUGCAUAAUAGGCGUGCUUCGAAAAAUUACAAACCUCUUGUUUGGUCUUCAAAAGUUUGGCUGCAAGUCAUGUAAAUAAGUUUGGUUGUAUUUGUUGUAGGUUGGAAGUCUACAGAAUCUAGUGAUCUAUUCAAUUUGGAUAGUAAAUAAUUCUUUGCACUCUCUGUUUCCCUUAUUUUGCCAAGUUGCCUCGAAUUCAAAAUAAAAUAUGAUAAAAAGUCGAAACUUCGAUUUCUUUGUGUCAAAUUUGAUAAUUUUUUCCCCAGAUUUUAUAUUUUUUAGAAUUAUUAAGCAUGAUUGAUGAUAAAUACGUGUACGCAUGCACGUCGGAGCUCCGGCCACCCAACAAGCAGCCGGGCAGCAGCUCCAUGUUGCGUCCCCUUCGGCCGUUGAACUAGUAGCACAGCCGUCUACGGUUCUCUUCUUCCCACCACCGGUUGGCGGGCUUCCUUGCUGGAGUUCCUUGGCAAGUCAUUGUAGCUAGUUCGACAGGCUAGAGAUGGCAGUGUGCCGGACUUUGGAUCCAAGCUACAGCCCGAAACUCAGAUCCGCAGGCCUCCAAGCUACACUGAGACGUUGUGGCCAGAACGGAGGGCGCCAUGGGGAGCAAAGAGGAAGCCCUCCAUGCUGGUUCUUCAAGCUGCUGGCCACGGCAGCAGCCGGCCUGUUCUGCCAUCUCCUCCGCCGGCUGGAGAUCAGGUUGCUACUAGUUCACGCAGCAGCACCUCUUGGCUGAGGUUCAACCACAGCAAGGCUGCACACCUUGGCUUCUCCUCGCAAGCAUUCUGGCGAACUCCGUUACUGUACUCACAGCAGGUCAGAGAGGGAUUUUAGAGCUCCUUGCCUUGAUGGAGCAGCCCCGGAAUCCCACUGAUGAAGGACUGCCCCUUUCAUCCUCGCCGAGGUUGUGCUCUCACAGCUUCUCCAGCGCCUCCAUCGUCGCCGGCGGUGAUGCCUCCGUCAAGCCUCUACCGGUGUGGGAAGGAGACCGCCACCAGAGAGGCUACUCUUUCUAGCCGACAUGUGCUGACUACCCGCAGUACAAGAUCACCAGUGAAAGCAAACGGAUAUUAGAGGAGGAGAUGACUGAGAGCUCCCAAAAUCCUCUACUUUCUGGGUGACAAGCGCAUACCGUCAGUCAUCAAUUAUUGGAGCAAAAAGUAAUUGCACUUCAUCUUUAAAUGUCCACUAUCCACGGUAUGUGAAAGGGAGAUGAAAACUACUUUGUGAGGGGGACACCCUCACCUCCCUUCUCCAUCCAAUUUUUUUUACCUUUAUAUCCUGUCCUUGUUCUCAUCCACGUUUUUUUAAAGUUUUAUUUCUUUGUUUUUAUUA